rnacentral:rRNA from 1 species
AACGUAGGUUCCGAGCGUUAUCCGGAUUUACUGGGCGUAAAGCGCGUUCAGGCGGUUUGGCAAGUCGGGCAUGAAAUCUCUCGGCUCAACCGGGAGAGGUUGUCCGAUACUUCCAGACUUGAGGGCAGUAGAGGGUGGUGGAAUUCCGGGUGUAGUGGUGAAAUGCGUAGAUAGUCGGGAGGAACACCAGUGGCGAAGGCGAACUUCCUGGCCUGUUCUUGACGCUGAGGCGCGAAAGCUAGGGGAGCAAACGGG